GUCUACGGCCAUGCCACCCUGAACAAGCCCGAUGUCUGAUCUCGGAAGCUAAGCAGUGUCGGGCCUGGUUAGUACUUGCAUGGGAGACCGCCUAGGAAGACCAGGUGCUGUAGGCC
rnacentral:rRNA from 1 species